CAUUUCCUUUCCAUACAGCCACUCAAUUGGGGUUAUGGUGAGAAUAUUCCUCACAAAUCCUGGUUCUAGUGUACUGGCACAACUCCCUGUACGGUCUCAGGGUUCCCUGGUCACUGAGGACUCGUCUAGACUUCAGGUACCCUGUUUAUCCUCUCCAUGCUGUUCCUGCUCUCCUGACUAUCUCUUGACAAGUCACUGCCCUGCAAGCCACCCCCUAAUCAACUUCUGGCUUCCUAUCCUUGCAGAUAUGAUAGAUAUAUCACACCAUUUUGCCAUAAAAUGAAGCACAGGGUUCUUUUGUACAUCAGAAAACUAUUUUUCACUGUGUGGAUUUCACAGCACUGGAACAGUCUGAACAGAGAAGUCGUGGAGUCUCUGCCCUCAUAGGGCAGGUGCUCCAGAUCUCUGAUCAUCUUCACAGCCCUCCUCUGGACCCUCUCCAACAGCUCCACGUCUUUUCAGUACUGGUGGUCCCAGACCUGGAUGCAGUACUCCAAAUGGGGCCUCAAGAGGGCAGAGUAGAGAGGAAUAUCACCUCUCGGUCCCUGCUGUCCACCUCUCUUCUGAUGGAGCUCAGGGUACCAUUGGCCUUCCAAGUUACAAGAGCACACUGCUGGUUCACUUUCAGUUUUUUAUUCACCAGGACCCCCAGGUCCUUCUCCACAGGAUUUUUUCUCAAGGAGUUUUUCUCCUAGUCUGCAUACAUAUCUGGGGUUACUUCAACUCAAGUGCAAAGCCUUGUACUUUGCUGUGUUGAACCUCAUUAGGCUUAUGUUUGCCCACCUUUCAAGUUUGUUGAGGUCCCUCUGGAUGGCUUCGCUUCCUUCUAACAUCUCAACCGCACCACUAAGCUUGGUGCUAUCAGCAAACUUGCUCAGGGUGCACUCAAACCCAUCAUCGAUGUCAUUGAUGAAGAUCUGGAAGAGCACCAGUCCCAAGACAGACCCCUGGGGGACACCGCUUGUCACAAGCCUCCACCUGAACAUAGUGCCAUUCAACACAACCCUCUGACUACAGUCUUCCAAUCAAUUCCUUAUCCACCAAAUAGUCCACCCCUCAAAUCCAUCUCUCUCCAAUUUCGAGAUCAGGAUGUGGUGGGGGACCAUGUCAAAGGCCUUGCACAAGUCCAGGUAAAUGAUAUUGGUCGCCUCCCUUUG
ensembl:lncRNA